rnacentral:rRNA from 1 species
UGGUGGGUAGUUUGACUGGGGCGGUCUCCUCCUAAAGAGUAACGGAGGAGCACGAAGGUUGGCUAAUCCUGGUCGGACAUCAGGAGGUUAGUGCAAUGGCAUAAGCCAGCUUGACUGCGAGCGUGACGGCGCGAGCAGGUGCGAAAGCAGGUCAUAGUGAUCCGGUGGUUCUGAAUGGAAGGGCCAUCGCUCAACGGAUAAAAGGUACUCCGGGGAUAACAGGCUGAUACCGCCCAAGAGUUCAUAUCGACGGCGGUGUUUGGCACCUCGAUGUCGGCUCAUCACAUCCUGGGGCUGAAGUAGGUCCCAAGGGUAUGGCUGUUCGCCAUUUAAAGUGGUACGCGAGCUGGGUUUAGAACGUCGUGAGACAGUUCGGUCCCUAUCUGCCGUGGGCGCUGGAGAACUGAGGGGGGCUGCUCCUAGUACGAGAGGACCGGAGUGGACGCAUCACUGGUGUUCGGGUUGUCAUGCCAAUGGCACUGCCCGGUAGCUAAAUGCGGAAGAGAUAAGUGCUGAAAGCAUCUAAGCACGAAACUUGCCCCGAGAUGAGUUCUCCCUGACUCCUUGAGAGUCCUGAAGGAACGUUGAAGACGACGACGUUGAUAGGCCGGGUGUGUAAGCGCAGCGAUGCGUUGAGCUAACCGGUACUAAUGAACCGUGAGGCUUAACCUUACAACGCCGAAGGUGUUU